UACGGAGGGUGCAAGCGUUAUCCGGAUUUACUGGGCGUAAAGCGCACGUAGGCGGCUCUUUAAGUCGGGGGUGAAAUCCUGGAGCUCAACUCCAGAACUGCCUUCGAUACUGGAGAGCUCGAGUCCGGGAGAGGUGAGUGGAACUGCGAGUGUAGAGGUGAAAUUCGUAGAUAUUCGCAAGAACACCAGUGGCGAAGGCGGCUCACUGGCCCGGUACUGACGCUGAGGUGCGAAAGCGUGGGGAGCAAACAGG
rnacentral:rRNA from 1 species